rnacentral:rRNA from 1 species
AUGCCUUUGCCUGUACCUAGUGUUCCUUGGGAGGAUAUAUCUAUGGACUUUGUUUUAGGUUUACCUCGAACAAAGAAGGGGAGGGAUAGCAUAUUUGUUGUCGUGGAUAGAUUCUCGAAAAUGGCACACUUUAUACCAUGUCAUAAAAGCGAUGAUGUUGUUAAUGUUGCUGAUUUGUUCUUUCGUGAAAUUAUUCGCUUGCAUGGUGUGCCAAAUACUAUUGUUUCAGAUCGUGAUACUAAAUUUCUUAGCCACUUUUGGAGAUGUUUAUGGGCUAAGUUGGGGACUAAACUGCUUUUUAGUACUACUUGUCACCCCCAAACUGAUGGACAAACUGAAGUAGUCAAUAGAACAUUGUCUACUAUGCUUAGGGCUGUUUUGAAGAAUAAUAAGAAAAUGUGGGAGGAAUGCUUGCCUCAUAUUGAAUUUGCUUAUAAUCGUUCAUUGUAUUCUACUACUAAGAUGUGCCCUUUUGAAGUUGUGUAUGGUUUCCUACCUCGUGCACCUAUUGAUUUGUUGCCUCUUCCAUCUUCGGAGAAGGUUAAUUUUGAUGCUAAACAACGUGCUGAAUUGAUUUUAAAAAUGCAUGAGUUAACUAAGGAAAACAUUGAGCGUAUGAAUGCUAAAUAUAAACUUGCUGGAGAUAAGGGUAGAAAACAUGUUGUGUUUGCACCUGGAGAUCUUGUUUGGUUACAUUUGCGUAAGGAUAGAUUUCCUGAUUUGCGCAAAUCAAAGCUAAUGCCACGUGCUGAUGGUCCCUUUAAGGUGUUAGAGAAAAUAAAUGAUAAUGCAUAUAAACUUGAGCUGCCUGUAGAUUUUGGGGUUAGUCCCACUUUUAACAUUGCAGAUUUGAAGCCUUAUUUGGGUGAGGAAGAUGAGCUUCCAUCGAGGACGACUUCAUUUCAAGAAGGGGAGGAUGAUGAGGACAUCAAUACCAUUGUUACACCCACAGCCCCUACUGCUACAUAUACGGGACCAAUUACUAGAGCUCGCGCACGCCAAUUAAAUUAUCAGGUACUUUCGUUUCUUGGUAAUGAUUCUAAUGUUCAUGAGAAUAUGAUGCUGCCUAAAUUGGAUACAUUUGUUUUGCUUACAAAUGAAGGGCCUAGCUUGGAGAAGGAUGAACAUUGGAGCAAGAACAAGCAUGGAGAUGAUGCCAUGCGCAAGGGGAACAAGAAUGGAGUUACAAGUGAUGAUUUCAGGACUUUGAAGCCACCAUAA